CGGAGGGUGCAAGCGUUAUCCGGAUUCACUGGGUUUAAAGGGUGCGUAGGCGGACAGGUAAGUCAGUGGUGAAAUCUUCGAGCCUAACUCGGAAACUGCCGUUGAUACUAUUUGUCUUGAAUAACGUUGAGGUGAGCGGAAUAUGUCAUGUAGCGGUGAAAUGCUUAGAUAUGACAUAGAACACCGAUUGCGAAGGCAGCUCACUAAACGCUCAUUGACGCUGAGGCACGAAAGCGUGGGGAUCAAACAGGAUUAGAUACCCUGAUAGUCCACGCCCUAAACGAUGAUUACUCGACAUACGUGAUAAACUAUGUGUGUCUGAGCGAAAGCAUUAAGUAAUCCACCUGGGAAGUACGACCGCAAGGUUG
rnacentral:rRNA from 1 species